rnacentral:misc_RNA from 1 species
AGCAGCCGCGGUAAUUCCAGCUCCAAUAGCGUAUAUUAAAGUUGUUGCAGUUAAAAAGCUCGUAGUUGAACUUCGGGGUUUACUCAUUGGUCAGGCUUAAUUGUCUGUACUGGUGAGAUGAAUCUCUACCUUCUGAGGAACUUUCAUGCCAUUUAUUUGGUGUGGUUGGAAAUCAGGACUGUUACUUUGAAAAAAUUAGAGUGUUUAAAGCAGGCUAACGUCUGAAUACAUUAGCAUGGAAUAAUGAAAUAGGACGGACUGAUUCUAUUUCGUUGGUUUCUAGGGUCACCGUAAUGAUUAAUAGGGAUAGUUGGGGGCAUUAGUAUUCAAUUGUCAGAGGUGAAAUUCUUGGAUUUAUUGAAGACUAACUACUGCGAAAGCAUUUGCCAAGGAUGUUUUCAUUAAUCAAGAACGAAAGUUAGGGGAUCGAAGACGAUCAGAUACCGUCGUAGUCUUAACCAUAAACUAUGCCGACUAGGGAUCGGACGAAGUUAAUUAAUAAUGACGCGUUCGGCACCUU